GAGGGUGGAGCUCAGCGGUACAGCACGUGCUUAGCAUGCACGAGGUCCUGGGUUCCAUCCCCAGCACCUCCA
rnacentral:tRNA from 1 species